CCUACGUGAGGCAGCAGUAGGGAAUCUUCCACAAUGGGCGAAAGCCUGAUGGAGCAACGCCGCGUGGGUGAAGAAGGUCUUCGGAUCGUAAAACCCUGUUGUUAGAGAAGAAAGUGCGUGAGAGUAACUGUUCACGUUUCGACGGUAUCUAACCAGAAAGCCACGGCUAACUACGUGCCAGCAGCCGCGGUAAUACGUAGGUGGCAAGCGUUAUCCGGAUUUAUUGGGCGUAAAGGGAACGCAGGCGGUCUUUUAAGUCUGAUGUGAAAGCCUUCGGCUUAACCGGAGUAGUGCAUUGGAAACUGGGUGACUUGAGUGCAGAAGAGGAGAGUGGAACUCCAUGUGUAGCGGUGAAAUGCGUAGAUAUAUGGAAGAACACCAGUGGCGAAAGCGGCUCUCUGGUCUGUAACUGACGCUGAGGUUCGAAAGCGUGGGUAGCAAACAGGAUUAGAUACCCUGGUAGUC
rnacentral:rRNA from 1 species